ACCCUUUGGCCUAGAGAUAAGAAU
rnacentral:piRNA from 1 species